ACCACCACUGUAGGUGGUCUCUUGUCCUGCUCCAUGUAUACACAGUCUCACACCUACCACCACUGUAGGUGGUCUCUUGUCCUGCUCCAUGUAUACACAGUCUCACACCUACCACCACUGUAGGUGGUCUCUUGUCCUGCUCCAUGUAUACACAGUCUCACACCUACCACCACUGUAGGUGGUCUCUUGUCCUGCUCCAUGUAUACACAGUCUCACACCUACCACCACUGUAGGUGGUCUCUUGUCCUGCUCCAUGUAUACACAGUCUCACACCUACCACCACUGUAGGUGGUUUCUUGUCCUGCUCCAUGUAUACACAGUCUCACACCUACCACCACUGUAGGUGGUCUCUUGUCCUGCUCCAUGUAUACACAGUCUCACACCUACCACCACUGUAGGUGGUCUCUUGUCCUGCUCCAUGUAUACACAGUCUCACACCUACCACCACUGUAGGUGGUCUCUUGUCCUGCUCCAUGUAUACACAGUCUCACACCUACCACCACUGUAGGUG